rnacentral:rRNA from 1 species
AACGAACGCUGGCGGCAUGCCUAACACAUGCAAGUCGAACGAAAUCCUUCGGGGUCUUGUCGCGCACGGGUGCGUAACGCGGGGGAAUCCGCCCUUAGGUUCGGUAUCACAGGUAGAAAUGUCUGCUAAUACCGGGUGAUCUAGUUAAGGACAAUGAUUUGUCGCCUGAGGAUCGGCCGUCGUAGGAUUAGCUAGUUGGUGUGGUAAAGGCCCACCAAGGCGACGAUCCUUAGCUGGUCUGAGAGGAUGAUCAGCCACACUGGGACUGAGACACGGCCCAGACUCCUACGGGAGGCAGCAGUGGGGAAUAUUGGACAAUGGGCGCAAGCCUGACGCAGCCAUGCCGCGUGAAUGAUGAAGGUCUUAGGGUUGUAAAGCUCUUUUACCCGAGAUGAUAAUGACGGUACCGGGAGAAUAAGCCCCGGCUAACUCCGUG